rnacentral:rRNA from 1 species
UACGUAGGCAGCAAGCGUUGUUCGGAAUUACUGGGCGUAAAGAGCUCGUAGGCGGUGUGUCGCGUCGGCCGUGAAAACCUGCAGCUUAACUGUGGGCUUGCGGUCGAUACGGGCAUCACUGGAGUUCGGCAGGGGAGACUGGAAUUCCUGGUGUAGCGGUGAAAUGCGCAGAUAUCAGGAGGAACACCGGUGGCGAAGGCGGGUCUCUGGGCCGAUACUGACGCUGAGGAGCGAAAGCGUGGGGAGCGAACAGG